GACGAACGCUGGCGGCGUGCUUAACACAUGCAAGUCGAACGGAAAGGCCUCUUUCGGGGGGUACUCGAGUGGCGAACGGGUGAGUAACACGUGAGUAACCUGCCCUUGACUUUGGGAUAACUUCAGGAAACUGGGGCUAAUACCGGAUAGGAGCUCCUGCUGCAUGGUGGGGGUUGGAAAGUUUCGGCGGUUGGGGAUGGACUCGCGGCUUAUCAGCUUGUUGGUGGGGUAGUGGCUUACCAAGGCUUUGACGGGUAGCCGGCCUGAGAGGGUGACCGGCCACAGUGGGACUGAGAUACGGCCCAGACUCCUACGGGAGGCAGCAGUGGGGAAUAUUGCACAAUGGGUGGAAGCCUGAUGCAGCAACGCCGUGUGCGGGAUGACGGCCUUCGGGUUGUAAAACGCUUUCGCUCAUGACGAAGCUUUGUGUGACGGUAGUGGGUAAAGAAGCACCGGCUAACUACGUG
rnacentral:rRNA from 1 species